CCUACGGGAGGCAGCAGUGAGGAAUAUUGGUCAAUGGACGAGAGUCUGAACCAGCCAAGUAGCGUGAAGGAUGACUGCCCUAUGGGUUGUAAACGUCUUUUAUAUGGGAAUAAAAUGUUCCACGUGUGGGAUUUUGUAUGUACCAUAUGAAUAAGGAUCGGCUAACUCCGUGCCAGCAGCCGCGGUAAUACGGAGGAUCCGAGCGUUAUCCGGAUUUGUUUGGUUUAAAGGGAGCGUAGGUGGAUUGGUAAGUCAGGUGUGAAAGUUUGCGGCUCAACCGUAAGAUUGCAGUUGAAACUGGCAGUCUUGAGUACAGUAGAGGUGAGCGGAAUUCGUGGUGUAGCGGUGAAAUGCGUAGAUAUCACGAAGAACUCCGAUUGCGAAGGCAGCUCACUGGACUGCAACUGACGCUGAGGCUCGAAAGUGUGGGGAGCAAACAGGAUUAGAUACCCGAGUAGUC
rnacentral:rRNA from 1 species